CAGAAUUAUAAAUAGCAUAAGUAGCCUUUGUUGGGUGAUGAAGAGGGAAUGAAAAGUUGAAUAGGUCCAGGGUUUUCAAAGACUGUUUACUAAUUGGGUACAUUAAGAAUUGGAUAGGUGGGUCUUCACUGUCAAUUAAAUCACCAUUAUUGCCUCAUAUGUGGGCUGCAUGAUUAUAAAGAAUCUCAUUAAACAAAAUAUUUUUUUUCAGAUAUUUAUGAAAUGUUUUGAAGAUGGCUACAGUUAUGAUUUUCGGCUUUUCAUAUAUGAUUAAAGGAAAAAGAGUUGUCAAAUACUUGUGCAGACUUUUCAAAUUCAAGGUCACCAUGUGUUCCUUGACAGAUUAUUCAAAUUCAUUUCCCUGGUUAGGGCUGGGCUUUACAAUGGGAUUUUCAGCUGUGGAGCUAUAAAGAAUUACUACAUAGGGUUUCCAAUGUAGCUUUGUGAACAGAAUCCAGAAAUAAGAAGAGGAGAGACAAUGGAGAUGCAGCAUUAGCAUUACCAAUUACUUACCACUGCUGAGAAAAUGGUACAUGCUUUGAGUACUACUUUUGUGUAUUUGGAGAUAAUCCAGUCGUUCUUUAAACCAGAAUUGGAAAUUUCAGUGCUUGUUAAAUUUUCUCCAGAAGUUAUUGGAUGCUACAUAGGAAGAAAAUGGGGUCAUACUGAACAGAAUAGUUUGGAUACACCUUAAUAGAUUUUGAAAGCUUGAGACCUCAAGAUCAACCCAAAUGGUGUACCAAACAUCAAGAAAAAAAUACAGUUUAUGAUUGAAGAAGCUUGUGUAG